AAAAAUUUUGCAUUGGAAAAAUUCCACAAUAACGUUAAAAUAAUAAAAAUUACGUGCAAAAAAAUAUCUGUGGAAAUAUAUUGGAUAUUAGGAAAAAUAAAACGCGCGCACGCCCCGUUGCAACGUACGUUUAACAUCCUAUUCCAAAAAUUAAAAAAUAAUGCGGAUAAAAAAACCAUUUUGCAAAUAAUAAUAAAAACCCUAAACGAUAUAACCGGACCAAACGGAUUAAUUCCAAUUUUAUUAAUAUUCGGUACGUACCCCAAAAUUAACGAAAAAUUAACACCAUUAAUAAUUAUCGCGCAACGCGCGAUAACGAUAUCCAAAAUAAAAAAGGCGUUGGCCAAAUAUCGUGCGGAAAUAAUUAUUAACCGCGCGUUUAAUAUAAAAAACGGACCGCGCGCGCAAAAAAUAUUGGAUAUAACGUUGGAAAACGAAAUGCUAAUAUAAAAAAAAGGGAAAAAAUGGUAAAAACCGUACCAAAUCCAAAUUAUAAAUUAAAUUAAUACCAUAAUAAUUAUUAAUAAUAUUCCAAAAACCUUCCGCACGACGUAUUGCAAACCGUUCCACCGCGACCCAACCGAAAUACAAAAAUCGCACGACGCAAACGAAAAAACGCCGCAAAACCAACCAAACCUGGACCCGGACGCGCACGAUAAACCAUAAACCCAGGCGGACCUAAAUCGAAUUUUGCAAAAAGAAAAAUUUGUAAUCCAAUUAUUGCAAAACGAAACGUACGUUACAAAAAAAAAAAAAAUAACGUGGGACCUAAUUAUCGCAUUACAAACCAAAAACAAAAUUAAUAUACCCGGACCGCCGUUCGAAACAACGGACGACCAGGAGGUCGAUAAUUUAAUAAUAAAAAAUGCGAUCGAAAUAAUAAAAUACGACCCAACCUUCCAUAAAAACCGGAUGUGGAAAAUAAAAUUAAUGCGAAAAAUUAAAGGAUAAAUUUCCGCGCAAUUAUAUAAAAAAUCCAAAAUAGUAUUACAAAAUUAUAACGACCCGGAAAAAAAAAAAUUGUUAACGUAAACGCCAAUUAUCCAACGUAUAAACCAAAAAUUGCUAUUGGCGAUUGGAACCGGAUUAAUUGCGCGAUUAAAUAUAAAAUUUAAAUUGCGGGAUAUUAUAUAAAUAUAUAUACAAUCCGAGGAUUUUCUGCAACGCACAAUUAUUAUACAAUUACCAAAAAAAAUUCGCCAUCGUUACCCAAUUAAUACGGUAUUGUGGAUUAAAAAAUCGUUAUAUAAAUUAGCAAAAUUAAAUAUAUAUUGGUGGAAAAUAUAUUAUACGCACCACCGUAACGCCCUAAAAAUAAAACCAUUAUUGUACAACCCAUAUUUAUUAUAUAUAACGGGAAAUUAGGAUUGUUUUGGGAUUACAAAUAUGCAAAUAAACGAUAUAUUUACUAUUGCAACCCCAACCUUUUUAAUUUUGGAGGAGGAAAUAUUGCACGCAAUAGGAUUCCAAACAAAGGAAAAACAGCUUUUUACGCACGACAAUUAUUUGGAAUUUAACGGAUGCAAAAUCCAAUUGCAAAAAAAACGCGUAUAUAUUACCCAAAAAGGACAAUUAGCACAAUUUAAAUUCGUCGACUAUAAGGUACCAAAUGCAACAUAACAAUUUAUCGUAUAACGAACCAGGGGAAUAUACGUUAUUACCAUUUACCAAUUAAAAACUGCGUACAAUUUGUUAAUUGCAAUAUAAAAUAAUUAACAACCAACCAAAAAAACGAUUACCGUUUUAAAUAAACGGUUAAUAUGGUAAAUAAAAAACCCGAAUAGGGGAUUUAUAUACCUGCCCAUUAACCUGGAACGUGCGAAAUUAUAUAUUUUUACAAACGGAUCGUUCGCCAAUAAUAAAAAUAUAAUUUUACAAUUGGGUUAUAUUAUAAUAUUGGGGGAAAAAAUCGCGCGCAAUAAAAAAUAGUUUCAAUUGCAGGGUAAUAUCGUGCAUUGGUCCUCCACCAAAUAUAAAAGGGUAAUAAAAAGCGUAUUAGCAAACGAAUUGUACGGUAUAACCACAGAAUUCGAUUAUGGUUUUAUAUUUGCAAUAACAAUUAUACGUAUAAUAAAAAUUUUGGAACAACCAUUUAUCCAAAUUAUCGUUUGCACAAAUUCCAAAUUUUUGUACAAUUGUUUAAUAAAAUUGGGUAAUACGACAGAAAAAAAAUUAAUAAUAAAUAUAAUAUUAUUACGCGAAUUGUACGAAAUUAGGGAAAUAAUAGAAAUUUGUUGGAUAAACGGACGUAAUAACCCAAUUAAUAUUAU
rnacentral:sRNA from 1 species